rnacentral:lncRNA from 1 species
CUAGCUCUCUCAACAACCCCUUCAGUUUUCCCAACACCCCCCUCCUUCCCUUGCCUGCUUUCUUGUUUGGGCCUUUAACAGUGCGCUGUCUUUGUUCACGAUACAGGUGAACGACAAUCAUGUGAUUAACACACACUCUCUCUCUCUCUCUCACACACACACACACACAUACACACACACAUAAAAAGCUUUUUAAGAGCGUCCAGCUUGCCUCAGACCCGAAGACGGGAGAGGAGACCCGGGUUAGGAGGAGCAGAAGCGGCAGCGGCUGGGCAGCAGGGCCAGGAUGGGACAUCAGCAAGACCCCAUCCUGCCUCACCGGCCCUUUCCCUCCAGCACGGACGAACAGGCACGCCAUCUUGCUGCGAAACCCCUUCCCAAGGAGGGUGAGUCUUGCUUGUCCUGCCAUGGUUGAAGUGGAAGGGUCAGGCCCCACGAGAUCCAGCCAUCCAGGAAGAGGGAGCAGCCUUCCUGUCGGAAAAAGGGGACGUGAGCCCCCAGCUGUGGUGUGGGAGCGCUAAAUGGUUAGAUUUACUCAGUCCUGUGGCCCAGGAGGGAGAAGGAAGAGGACCAGACCGUCGUUGGGAAGACUGUGGAUGGCAGGGACAGUUAGCACUUGCUUGAAAUCCCACUGCCCUGGUCAGAAGUAGUACAUCCAAUAUCCUAAGUGAGGACUGCAGGUCCCCUUUGGUGUGAAGAUGUGCCAGGGGCUGCAUCAGACCUCAUCACCAUGGCCAUGAAAUGGCUUGGAAAGCAGUUGCACUGCCCUCCAAUUAUCCUGAGGGAAAAUGGAGGCUAGUGAAAGAAAGAUUUUGGCAAUGUGCAGAUGGCCAGGUGUUCAUCUGAACCAUCCAAAGAGGAAGUUAUGAAGGAAUCAGGAAAAAAAUAACAAGGUCUCAGCAGAUUAUUCUGUUUAUCUGAAGGUCGCCUGAGUGUGGUACUCAAAGGAAGAGAGGGAGGAGCAAAGGGAAAGGCCACCAUCUCACCAUAACACUUGGAAAAUCUAUGGGUCUGUGUCUGGCCUCACUCAUGAGACAUCAUGAGACUUUGAUUUACAGCCGUCUGAGUGAGAUCAGGACCAGGUCUUAUGCUGUGCAAGAGUUCCUCAUUGGCACACCCAGGCUCAGCCCCAUCUUCACCACUUCCUCGCAUCUUUCUCUCCAAAUUCCUUCCUGAUCCAAUGUCACAACUCCCCUUCCCAGCAUGCUGGUAGCUUUCACAGGCCUUUCCACGAAUGGGAGAAUCAAAGGACACCUGAAGCCCAUGUUUAUGUUGAGCUCCAUGAUGCUGCAGUCUUGUUUUCCAGCAGAUAAACAAGGGUGAAAGCCACCCUAGAAUGUGAUCAGCUACAGUUGCCAGCAGACUCAAGGAUACCUUCAGUUUGCCUUGUGCCGCAGGCAUCCUGAAAACAGGGAGCUGGGCAUGGGAACCACUGCCAGACUCUGGUCUACAUUAUCCAUCAUCGCUUUUGGCUGAAGCUCCCAAUACUGGUCUUAGAUCUUUCCAGAUCAACUCAAGUCU